rnacentral:tRNA from 1 species
GGUUAAAUGGCUGAAAUUAGGCGAUAGAUUGUAAAUCUAUUUAUGGGAAUUAUUCUCUUUAAUCA